rnacentral:rRNA from 1 species
GACGAACGCUGGCGGCGUGCUUAACACAUGCAAGUCGAACGGAAAGGCCUCUUUCGGGGGGUACUCGAGUGGCGAACGGGUGAUUAACACGUGAGUAACCUGCCCUUGACUUUGGGAUAACUUCAGGAAACUGGGGCUAAUACCGGAUAGGAGCUCCUGCUGCAUGGUGGGGGUUGGAAAGUUUCGGCGGUUGGGGAUGGACUCGCGGCUUAUCAGCUUGUUGUUGGGGUAGUGGCUUACCAAGGCUUUGACGGGUAGCCGGCCUGAGAGGGUGACCGGCAAAAUUAGGACUGAGAGACGGCCCAGACUACGACGAGAAGCAGCAGUGGGGAAUAAUGCACAAUGGGUGGAGGCCUAAGGCAGCAAAGACGUGUGCGGGAUGAAGGCCUUCGGGUUGUAACCCGCUUUCGCUCAUGACGAAGCUUUGUGUGACGGUAGUGGGUAAAGAAGCACCGGAUAAAUACGUG